rnacentral:rRNA from 1 species
UACAGAGGGGGCAAGCGUUGUUCGGAAUUACUGGGCGUAAAGCGUGCGCAGGCGGCGGCUCAAGUCAGGUGUGAAAUCCCCGGGCUUAACCUGGGAAUUGCGCUUGAAACUAGGUCGCUAGAGUGUGGCAGAGGGGGGUGGAAUUCCACGUGUAGCAGUGAAAUGCGUAGAGAUGUGGAGGAACACCGAUGGCGAAGGCAGCCCCCUGGGUCAACACUGACGCUCAGGCACGAAAGCGUGGGGAGCAAACAGG